GAAAAAUAGCCCAUUGAAGAUAAUGCGAGAGACGAAUGUGACAGGGUCUUCAGGCCUAUUUACAAACACCACAAUUUCUUCUUCCUGCUAGAGGGUUGUUGCGAAGGGCAAUUCAAUGAUUACUAUUCUAAUGGUUAUUUUGACGCGUCUUUGACACCUGGACUCUACUUAGAAAAACUGACAGACUACGGAACUCGAAACAAAAUUUUGAACCAUAUAUGGUCCUUCUACAUGCACGAUUGUGGUGUGAAUGUAAUAUAUAGACUUGGUUUUGGGACAGGCGAUUUAAAAAGGAGUCCAUCAUCAAGAUGCAACUCGUGAACAAAUAAUUGGUGCACCCUACAUGCUGAAAGUUGGAAGAGAUUGGACGCCACAAAUUCCAUAUGAAAACCCGGAACAUUUCAUCACAUUUAAAUGGUUCAAGAUAAACAUAAUUUGUGCAGACCAACCAUGGAUCUGCAGCUCAGAUGCAAGAAAAACUACAUGGUGGGAAUAUAUAUUCGGCAGAGAAAAACCGAGUUUUGACUUCCCAACUUAAUGUUUUUCGCAGAUUAUUGACCAAAAUUCUUCUUCAAAAAAAACUUGUUGGAAUGAAAUCAACUGUAUGCCUUUAAUAUAUUCUGGAGAAACCAAUAUUUAUUCAACUACUGCAAAUGUCAUUUCUGCAU